rnacentral:rRNA from 1 species
UGGUUUUAAUUUGAUGCAACGCGAAGAACCUUACCUACUCUUGACAUCUACAGAAGCCAGCGGAGACGCAGGUGUGCCUUCGGGAACUGUAAGACAGGUGCUGCAUGGCUGUCGUCAGCUCGUGUUGUGAAAUGUUGGGUUAAGUCCCGCAACGAGCGCAACCCUUAUCCUUGUUUGCCAGCACUUCGGGUGGGAACUCCAGGGAGACUGCCGGUGAUAAACCGGAGGAAGGUGGGGACGACGUCAAGUCAUCAUGGCCCUUACGAGUAGGGCUACACACGUGCUACAAUGGCGCAUACAGAGGGCGGCCAACUUGCGAAAGUGAGCGAAUCCCAAAAAGUGCGUCGUAGUCCGGAUUGGAGUCUGCAACUCGACUCCAUGAAGUCGGAAUCGCUAGUAAUCGUGGAUCAGAAUGCCACGGUGAAUACGUUCCCGGGCCUUGUACACACCGCCCGUCACACCAUGGGAGUGGGCUGCAAAAGAAGUGGGUAGUUUAACCUUCGGGAGGACGCUCACCACUUUGUGGUUCAUGACUGGGGUGAAGUCGUAACAAGGUAACCG